rnacentral:rRNA from 2 species
UUAUACCGCGAAACUGCGAAUGGCUCAUUAAAUCAGUUAUCGUCUAUUUGAUAGUACCUUACUACUUGGAUAACCGUGGUAAUUCUAGAGCUAAUACAUGCUGAAAACCCCGACUUCGGAAGGGAUGUAUUUAUUAGAUUAAAAGCCAACGCCCUUCGGGGCUCCCUGGUGAUUCAUGAUAACUGCUCGAAUCGCACGGCCUUGCGCCGGCGAUGGUUCAUUCAAAUUUCUGCCCUAUCAACUUUCGACGGCUGGGUCUUGGCCAGCCGUGGUGACAACGGGUAACGGAGGGUUAGGGCUCGACCCCGGAGAAGGAGCCUGAGAAACGGCUACUACAUCCAAGGAAGGCAGCAGGCGCGCAAAUUACCCAAUCCCGACGCGGGGAGGUAGUGACAAUAAAUACUGAUACAGGGCUCUUUUGGGUCUUGUAAUUGGAAUGAGUACAAUUUAAUUCCCUUAACGAGGAACAAUUGGAGGGCAAGUCUGGUGCCAGCAGCCGCGGUAAUUCCAGCUCCAAUAGCGUAUAUUAAAGUUGUUGCAGUUAAAAAGCUCGUAGUUGAACCUUGGGCCUGGCUGGCCGGUCCGCCUCACCGCGUGCACUGGUCCGGCCGGGCCUUUCCCUCUGGGGAGCCGCAUGCCCUUCACUGGGCGUGCCGGGGAACCAGGACUUUUACUUUGAAAAAAUUAGAGUGUUCAAAGCAGGCUUAUGCUCGGAUACAUUAGCAUGGAAUAAUAGAAUAGGACGCGUGGUUCUAUUUUGUUGGUUUCUAGGACCGCCGUAAUGAUUAAUAGGGACAGUCGGGGGCAUCAGUAUUCAGUUGCGAGAGGUGAAAUUCUUGGACCAACUGAAGACUAACUACUGCGAAAGCAUUUGCCAAGGAUGUUUUCAUUAAUCAGGAACGAAAGUUAGGGGAUCGAAGACGAUCAGAUACCGUCGUAGUCUUAACCAUAAACUAUGCCGACUAGGGAUCGGGCGGUGUUAUCUUUUGACCCGCUCGGCACCUUGCACGAAAGUACAA